UGUGGGAGCGAGCUUGCUCGCGAUGAGGGCGUGUCAGUAGACGGAACCGGUACUGAUCCACCGCUAUCGCGAGCAAGCUCGCUCCCACA
rnacentral:ncRNA from 2 species